rnacentral:rRNA from 1 species
AGCCUGAUGCAGCCAUGCGCCGUGUGUGAGAAGCUUCGGGUGUUAAGCACUUUCAGUCAUGGAGAAAGGUAGUAGAGUUUAAUAGCUGCUAUAUUUGACGGUUAGCGACAGAAGAAAGCCCGGCUAACUCCCGUGCCCAGCAGGCCGCGGUAAUUACGAAGGGGUGCGAGCCGUUAUUCGGGAAUUACUUGGGCGUUAAAGCGGCAUGCCAGGUGGGUUUGUUAAAUCAGAGAGUGAAAGCCCCGGGGCUCAACCUUGGAAUUGCAUUUGAAACUGGCAGACUAGAGUACUGUAGAGGGGGGGUAGAAUUCAGGUGUAGCGGUGAAAUGCGUAGAGAUCUGAAGGAUACCGGUGGGGAAGGCGGCCCCCCGGACAGAUACUGACACUCAGAUGCGAAAGCGUGGGGAGCAAACACGAUUUGAUACCCUGGUAGUCCACGCCGUAAACGAUGUGUACUUUGAAGUUGUGGCUCUGAGCCGUGGCUUUCGGAGCUAACGCGUUAAGUAGACCGCCUGGGGAGUACGGUCGCCAGAUUAAAAAUCAAAUGAAUUGACGGGGGCCCGCACCAGCGGUGGAGCAUGUGGUUUAAUUCGAUGCAACGCGAAGAACCUUACCUACUCUUGACAUCAAGAGAACUUUCCAGAGAUGGAUUGGUGCCUUUGGGAACUUUGAGACCGGUGGCGCAUGGCUGUUGUCAGCUUCUGUUGUGAAAUGUUGGGUUAAGUCCCGCAACGAGGGCAACCCCUAUCCUUGUUUGCCAGCGAGUAAUGUCGGGAACUCCAAGGAGACUGCCGGUGAUAAACCGGAGGAAGGUGGGGACGACGUCAAGUCAUCAUGGCCCUUACGAGUAGGGCUACACACGUGCUACAAUGGCGCAUACAGAGGGCGGCCAACUUGCGAAAGUGAGCGAAUCCCAAAAAGUGCGUCGUAGUCCGGAUUGGAGUCUGCAACUCGACUCCAUGAAGUCGGAAUCGCUAGUAAUCGUGGAUCAGAAUGCCACGGUGAAUACGUUCCCGGGCCUUGUACACACCGCCCGUCACACCA